rnacentral:rRNA from 1 species
UUGGAGGGCAAGUCUGGUGCCAGCAGCCGCGGCAAUUCCAGCUCCAAUAGCGUAUAUUAAAGUUGUUGCAGUUAAAAAGCUCGUAGUUGAAUUUCGGGAUUAGUACGUCGGUCGUGCCUUAGGUACGUACUGGUGUUACUGGUUCCUACCUUCUGACGAACCAUCAUGUCAUUAAUUUGGUGUGGUGGGGAAUCAGGACUGUUACUUUGAAAAAAUUAGAGUGUUUAAAGCAGGCUCGCGCUUGAAUACAUUAGCAUGGAAUAAUGAAAUAGG